rnacentral:misc_RNA from 1 species
AACACUGUUAACCUGCGGUACCUGCGGAGGGAUCAUUACACAAUACAAUAUGAAGGCUGUCCGCAGCUGGAGUAUUUUAUUACCCUUGUCUUUUGCGCACCUGUUGUUUCCUGGGCGGGUUCGCUCGCCACCAGGACCACCAAAUAAACCUUUUUUAUGCAGUUGCAAUCAGCGUCAGUACAAACAAUGUAAAUCAUUUACAACUUUUAACAACGGAUCU